rnacentral:tRNA from 1 species
CGCCGAGAUCGAGGAGCUGGCGCUGGGCCGCGCCUGCGUCGCGGCCCCGAUCCGCGACGGGUCGGGCGCGGUGGUCGCGGCGCUGUCGGUGUCC